rnacentral:rRNA from 1 species
CCUACGGGGAGCAGCAGUGGGGAAUAUUGGGCAAUGGGCGCAAGCCUGACCCAGCAACGCCGCGUGAAGGAAGAAGGCUUUCGGGUUGUAAACUUCUUUUGACAGGGAAGAGUAGAAGACGGUACCUGUCGAAUAAGCCACGGCUAACUACGUGCCAGCAGCCGCGGUAAUACGUAGGUGGCAAGCGUUUUCCGGAUUUACUGGGUGUAAAGGGCGUGUAGCCGGGUUGACAAGUCAGAUGUGAAAUCCUGCGGCUUAACCGCAGAACUGCAUUUGAAACUGUUGAUCUUGAGUACUGGAGAGGCAGACGGAAUGCGUAGUGUAGCGGUGAAAUGCGUAGAUAUCAGGAGGAACACCAGUGGCGAAGGCAGUCUGCUGGCCAGCAACUGACGGUGAGGCGCGAAAGCGUGGGGAGCAAACAGGAUUAGAUACCCCAGUAGUC